rnacentral:rRNA from 1 species
GUCCUUUUGAGUUUAAUUUAAGGUCUAACCUGCCCAAUGAAAGAUUUAAAUGGCCGCAGUAUUUUAACUGUGCAAAGGUAGCAUAAUCAUUAGUUUUUUAAUUAAAAGCUUGUAUGAAGGGUUGGACGAGAUAAAAACUGUCUUAAUUUAAUUUAUUUUAGAAUUUAAUUUUUAAGUUAAAAAGCUUAAAUAUUUUUAAAAGACGAGAAGACCCUAUAGAUCUUUAUAAUUUUUAUUUUAAUUAAGUUUUAGAAUUUAUUAUUAUUUAAUUUAAUGAUUAUUGUAUUGGGGUAAUAUAAAGAUUAAACUAAUUCUUUAUUUAUUUAUACAUUAAUUUAUGAAUAAUUGAUCCAAUAUUAUUGAUUAUAAGAUUAAGUUACCUUAGGGAUAACAGCGUAAUUUUUUUGGAGAGUUCAUAUCGAUAAAAAAGUUUGCGACCUCGAUGUUGGAUUAAAAAUUAGCCUAGGUGUAGAAGUUUAGGAUUUUGGUCUGUUCGACCAUUGAAUUUUUACA